UACGGAGGAUGCGAGCGUUAUCCGGAUUUAUUGGGUUUAAAGGGUGCGCAGGCGGCACGGCAAGCCGGCGGUCAAAUCGCGGGGCUCAACCCCGCCCAGCCGUCGGAACUGCCGGGCUAGAGUGGGCGAGAAGUGCGCGGAAUGCGUGGUGUAGCGGUGAAAUGCAUAGAUAUCACGCAGAACUCCGAUUGCGAAGGCAGCGCACCGGCGCCCUACUGACGCUAAGGCACGAAAGCGUGGGUAUCGAACAGG
rnacentral:rRNA from 1 species